UGCCUCCCUUCCCUCCUUCCUCCCGUGACCUCUGACCUUUCCUGACUGCAUAUGAAUCUCCACCGAACGGUUUUGUGAGUCGCUGCGUUGAAAGCUGCGGCCGCAGGAGGCCGCUCUUCCUGCAGCCGCCUGGUGGGAAUCUUCCAUCCCGCCUGCGCGAUGCCCUUCAGAGGGACCCGCCGGCUGUUUGGAUGCUGGCCAAGGUUGCCAUGGAAACGGCGAGACGACAGGGGGGACAGGAAAAGGCUGUGAUGGAGAAACACGCUCACUGAUUCCCAGUUAGAAAACACGACUUCAACUCAGAGACAAAAGGAACAAUGGAGCAUUUUAAUGCUAAUGCUAAUUUAUUUCAUGCUAAUUGUUGUUUUCUAGUGAAAACUAAAUAAUUGAAACUGCAAACUUCCUGAGUUUCUCUUUUCUGUCCUGCAGCAGCAGGAUGGAGCUGCUGACCUCAGAGCAGCGACUGGAACCUGCUCACAUCAACAGCUCCGCCCCCUGAGGCUUCCUGUUUCGUCCUGUCACAUUAAAACACAACCACUACAUUAUCCUUAAGCAUUUCUAAUAUCGCCGCUCCGUUCGGGGGACAGUGGUCGUUUUAAUUUGGGCCCCGGUGGGAAUCGGAUCCUCUCCCAGGCUGCGGCGGCGCCGGGCUCAUCCGAUUAGGGACAGCAGACCGGUAAACGGCGUCUCCCCAGGGAGAGAGGGGGGCGGCUCCGAUUGGAGCUGAUAAAUCAAACUGAUACACGAUCAUUAUGGAGAUUCUCACCUCAGAGGCCACUGUGUGUGUGUGUGUGUGUGUGUGUGUGUGUGUGUGUGUGUGUGUGUGUGUGUAUACGCAGUAAGGCAAACACUAACACAGAAAAUAUUGUCCUCUGCCAGCUGAGACCCAACAAUAAGAAAACAAAUAAUAAAACUUCAUUAUCCUCGAGGACGACCACUUUUUAAUUUAUUUUUAUUUCUUUAAUCCAGCAUUUUGGUUCCUUCUCCUUUUCCACAUCAGAGACGCCAGAACAACAUGUCUGCUUCUCAUGUGGCUCCAAACUGAAAUGAAUCCCAUCUUCAAAUGAUAGAUCUGCUAUGUAGAGUCACUGCAGUUAAAGGAAAAGAGCAGCUGGAGCUGAUUUUAAGGAGAUUUUCCAACAGAUUUCCUUCUUGUUUGGCUAAAAUGUAGAAACAGCUGCAGAAUAUUUGAAAUCUUGUUGAUGAUAUUGGUGGAUGUUACGA